rnacentral:rRNA from 1 species
GAUGAACGCUGGCGGCGUGCUUAACACAUGCAAGUCGAGCGAUGAAGUUUCCUUCGGGAAACGGAUUAGCGGCGGACGGGUGAGUAACACGUGGGUAACCUGCCUCAUAGAGUGGAAUAGCCUUCCGAAAGGAAGAUUAAUACCGCAUAAUGUUGAAAGAUGGCAUCAUCAUUUAACCAAAGGAGCAAUCUGCUAUGAGAUGGACCCGCGGCGCAUUAGCUAGUUGGUGGGGUAACGGCCUACCAAGGCGACGAUGCGUAGCCGACCUGAGAGGGUGAUCGGCCACAUUGGGACUGAGACACGGCCCAGACUCCUACGGGAGGCAGCAGUGGGGAAUAUUGCACAAUGGGGGAAACCCUGAUGCAGCAACGCCGCGUGAGUGAUGAAGGUUUUCGGAUCGUAAAGCUCUGUCUUUGGGGAAGAUAAUGACGGUACCCAAGGAGGAAGCCACGGCUAACUACGUGCCAGCCGCCGCCGUAA